rnacentral:snRNA from 1 species
AAAGUUUUCUGGUUGGUUUCAAGUUUAUUUCUCCUGUAGGGCUAAGGUUUCCCCAAGUUGGGAGAGCCUACGUCAUAAUUUGUGGCAGAGGGGCCCUGCGUUCGCGCGGCCCCUAC